rnacentral:rRNA from 1 species
CCUACGGGAGGCAGCAGUGGGGAAUAUUGGACAAUGGGGGGAACCCUGAUCCAGCGACGCCGCGUGAGUGAAGAAGUAUUUCGGUAUGUAAAGCUCUAUCAGCAGGGAAGAAAGAAAUGACGGUACCUGACUAAGAAGCCCCGGCUAACUACGUGCCAGCAGCCGUGGUAAGACGUAGGGGGCAAGCGUUAUCCGGAUUUACUGGUUGUAAAGGGAGCGUAGACGGCGAUGCAAGUCUGAAGUGAAAGGCGGGGGCCCAACCCCCGUACGGCUUUGGAAACUGUAUGGCUGGAGUGCAGGAGAGGUAAGUGGAAUUCCUAGUGUAGCGGUGAAAUGCGUAGAUAUUAGGAGGAACACCAGUGGCGAAGGCGGCUUACUGGACUGUAACUGACGUUGAGGCUCGAAAGCGUGGGGAGCAAACAGGAUUAGAUACCCGAGUAGUC